rnacentral:RNase_P_RNA from 2 species
AAAGCUUGACAGACAAUCGCUGGUGAGAAAUCACGAGAGGAAAGUCCGGGCUCCACAGGGCAAUGAUGCUGGAUAACGUCCAGUCAGCGCGAGCUGAAGGCUAGUGCCACAGAAAUGGACCGCCGAUGGCGUGAGAUUCGCUUCUCGCGCACAGGCAAGGGUGGAACCGUGGUGUAAGAGACCACGAGGAGAUAUGGUGACAUAUUUCCUGGUAAACCCCAUCUGGUGCAAGGCCUAAUGGAACGCACGUCUCCUCGGAGACAGUCUCGGCCCGGGACGCGUUCGGGUUGGUCGCUGGAGCCAAGCAGCAAUGUUUGGCCUAGAUAGAUGAUUGUCGCUUCAAUGGUGGGAGGGUGGUGCCCGUUAUGACCACUGGAAGUACAGAACCCGGCUUAUGAGCAAGCUUUCCGA